GUGUGUGUGUAUGUAUGUGUGUGUGUCUCUGUAUGUAUAUGUCUGUAAGAUACAGACGCAUACAUACAGAAACACACACAUACAUACAG